CCAAAAGGUGUAAACCCUAGGGCGCCCCCACCCCUCUAUUUAUAGAGGUUCCCGACGGGCCUCUGGAUCCGAGGCCCAUUAGUACUUCUAAACCUAAUCCAACUCGGAUCAGAUCCGAAUUGGGCUUCCAGCCCCUUAAGUGUGUGACCCUAUGGGUUCGGAUACGUAUAGACAUGGCCCGAGUACUCCUACUCGGCCCAAUAGUCGGUAGCGGCCUCUAGCAAGACGUGGCAACUCCUAUACGCACACGAAGAUCAUAUCAGACGAACCAUCACAACAUAAUAUAC
rnacentral:lncRNA from 1 species